UCCUCUUUGGCAUUGCCUUGAUCAGUGAACAUUUUAUAGCGGCACAUAUUUUAGACAAAUUUUUAUACCCAUCACACAAGAAAAGUUCUCCGAAAAUAUUUGCUAUAUUUUGGAGUCGAGUUUUUAUUUUAUUUUUCCUUUUGUCUACACGCGUGGUGAACAUUCUCCAGCUCCGAUUCCCGUUUAUAUCUCACUAUGUAUGAAGUUGUGCAUGUAUGCAACUUCAUAACUGGUUUGUAUCUCACCAAGCAUCGCUUCUUGCAUCUUUCUUGUAGGCGGCAAUUGCUACACAUGCUGGCGCCGAUCAGCUACAAGUAACAAUUAAGUAGGUAUUAAUAUUCUCAUAGCCAACCAAAGGUGCUAAUCUCCUGAAACAACUCUAGACGAUGCUCUAGUUUUGACGUCGUAUCUCUGCAUCCGUGCUGCAAAGAGUUGGCGAAGAUCAGGAAAUCCCUGAACUACUUCUUCGUGGUGAACUUGCGGAAUCCAACGAAUCGGCAUUCUUACAUGUCCAGAUUUGGGAGAGGGUUCUACGUAGGCUAACUACAAUAAAAUUGACCUGACACAUGAUAAUAAACCGUUGCUGGACAGGUCGAUCAGGAGAACAUCUUAAGAUGGGAAAGACAAAACCAAAAUAGUAAAAUCAAUCCACAUGCUGGUAGUAUGAGAAAUAUAGUGUGAGCGGAACAGGUGAGUGUUUUGGAAUCAAGAAAAAAACCAUGCCGCAAUCGUUGGCCAAGAUACAAGAUGAAAUCAAGCUAUGGAACAUGUGGACAAAAAAAACAUCAUGAGAUUAUUGGCCUAAGACUCAUUUAUUGAUUAGUGAUUUUUUUUCUUC